rnacentral:rRNA from 1 species
UACGUAGGGGGCAAGCGUUGUCCGGAUUUAUUGGGCGUAAAGAGCUCGUAGGCGGUCUGUUGCGUCCGCUGUGAAAACUCGGGGCUCAACCCCGAGCCUGCAGUCGAUACGGGCAGACUAGAGUGCGGUAGGGGAGACUGGAAUUCCGUGGUGUAGCGGUGAAAUGCGCAGAUAUCAGGAAGAACACCCGUGGCGAAAGCGGCUCUCUGGAACGGUACUGACGCUGAGACGCGAAAGCGUGGGGAGCGAACAGG